GACGAACGCUGGCGGCGCGCCUAACACAUGCAAGUCGAACGGAGCUGAGAGAAGCUUGCUUUUCUUAGCUUAGUGGCGAACGGGUGAGUAACGCGUGAGUAACCUGCCCUGGAGUGGGGGACAACAGUUGGAAACGACUGCUAAUACCGCAUAAGCCCACGAUCCGGCAUCGGAUUGAGGGAAAAGGAUUUAUACGCUUCAGGAUGGACUCGCGUCCAAUUAGCUAGUUGGUGAGGUAACGGCCCACCAAGGCGACGAUUGGUAGCCGGACUGAGAGGUUGAACGGCCACAUUGGGACUGAGACACGGCCCAGACUCCUACGGGAGGCAGCAGUGGGGGAUAUUGCACAAUGGGGGAAACCCUGAUGCAGCGACGCCGCGUGGAGGAAGAAGGUUUUCGGAUUGUAAACUCCUGUCGUUAGGGACGAUAAUGACGGUACCUAACAAGAAAGCACCGGCUAACUACGUG
rnacentral:rRNA from 1 species